rnacentral:rRNA from 1 species
GAUGAACGCUGGCGGCGUGCCUAAUACAUGCAAGUCGAGCGAAGCGGGGACGGGUGAGUAACAGGUGGAGAACCUUCUAUAAGACUGGGAUAACUUCGGGAAACCGGAGCUAAACCGGAUAAUUAUAGAUGGAGCCGCGAUGCAUUAGCUAGUGGGUAAGGUAACGGCUUACCAAGGCAACGAUGCAUAGCCGACCUGAGAGUGUGAUCGGCCACACUGGAACUGAGACACGGUCCAGACUCCUACGGGAGGCAGCAGUAGGGAAUCUUCCGCAAUGGGCGAAAGCCUGACGGAGCAACGCCGCGUGAGUGAUGAAGGUCUUCGGAUCGUAAAACUCUGUUAUUAGGGAAGCGGUACCUAAUCAGAAAGCCACGGCUAACUACGUGCCAGCAGCCGCGGUAAUUC